AUGACAGUGAAGGGUGGAGAAGGCCGCGGAGCUCGCCGCCGCUGCUGGCCGAGCUACCCUGAGAAGUUUCUGGAAAGAGGGCUACAAAGGGAACCUGAGGGGAUGAAUGGAAAGCGAGCCAUUUUCUGAGAGAAGACAGCGAAAAGUCCCAACAAAAAGUACACGGCCUUAGCCGAGCCCACGACCGACGACACACUCCCAUCCAAGGAGGAAGCGUGGGGACAAGGGAGCGGACUGGGAGACGCGGAAUGGCGGGGACAUUGAAAAGAUGGAGGCGCAGCCGCCGGGGCUUGGGAGUGGCAGGGAGGCGCUAGGUCAGGGGUCCCCGAACCCCGUCCUCCUUAGCUCCGCUCCCGUGUGCGCUCUGACCUGCCCGUCUACACUCGGGGGGCCCCCGGGGUUCACGGGGAUGUGACGCGCACACGCGCGCGAGCUCAUGGACAGCGUGGGAAGGAACCCCGGCCGCGCGCGGGGACAGCGUCCCCACGCCACGGCCCGCCCGGCUGCCAUUUUGUAGCGCGGCCGCCAUUUUGCGCGGCCCGGGGGCGGGGGAGGGGCUCGGGGCGCGGCCCCGCGGCUCGCGAUGGGCGUGGCCGGCGGCGGGCGCGGCCCCGGCCCCCUUUGUUCUCCGCCUGGGGGUCGCGAGGCCCCUCGGGCUCUGCAGCCGCCGCCGGCGCCGCAGCAGCAGCAGCGUGUGAACCGGGAGAGGCAGCCCCAGGGCGUGCGGGAUCCGGGAGCCCAUCGGAAGCGGGGUGUGUCCCCCCGUGCGAGGGAUGACAUCCUGCGUGGGGAAACUUAAAUCGCCGCCGUGGGAAGCGGCUUACGGGCGAACCGGGCUCGGCAUCCUCCACCUCUGCAAACAAAGUCAAGUUCGGUCCCGAAAGCAACAAAGGUGCCGAAACUCCGCGGAACCUAGCACCAGGAGGCGGGGCUCGUGCAGCCCACGAGGUGGAGGAGCGCUGAGAGCUCGGCUUCCAUUGGCUGGCCCUCGGAGCACAAGGCUUUCAGGGCCCAUUCUCCCUGACCCAGAAGCCUGAACAAUAAAUAUGCUGUGAUGGCUUUCUUCUGUCGAUUUAACUUCCACUUAUUUUCAAAAAGCUAUGAGUUUAUUAAAAAUAAAUAAUAAAAUACGUGCCUGACAUCCAUCGCCCUUUCACUUUCCGAAAAAGCAAAUGUCUUCUUGAGGAAUAUUUAAAAAUGCGAAUCUUAGUUGUGUGUAAUGCUGAAAAUUCUGGCACUAUUUCGCAAACCCAGAAAACUUGAAAAACGCUGCUAAAUUUGACUUCCAGCUUUUGUGCAGUUUUCUUCCCCCUAAUGGUUGACGUGGUUUUUCUUCACAAAAGCCUGGUAUCAUAAAGGAACCAGCCCGUCCUGACUCAUCUAUUUGUGUCUUGGCUACAGUAAACCUCUUUUUUUGUCUUCUCACUAUGUGUAAUUAUGGCGACUGCUUAUGUUUUCUGUAAUAGUGGGGUAAAGCUUAUGAUGACAGACUGAAAAGGUCAAAACAUGUUGAAGGAACCAAUCGGGAUUUUGAUGACUGCCAGAUGAGAGAAAUUUAGCAGAAGCGUUUCGAUUUCAAAUUUCAUGAAUAGGUGGGCUUGGUAGUUAUAAAACUGUAUACUGUGUCUUUAAGAUUACAUAAAUAGUCUGAAACCUUUAGUAGUGAUUACUUAAAAUAUGUUGUGUUCACCAUGUUUUCUUGUCUUGUAACCAAGUAAAACAAUUCAAAUCAUUAUUUGGUUAGUUGGUUUUCGAGACAGGGUUUCUCUAUGUCGCAGCCCCAGGACAUCAGUGAAAUCUUAUCCUGGGACGUUAGAAUAAUAUGGCAUAUAUGGUGUAUUGACACUCCGAGAAUGAUUUCCCAGCACUUCAUUGCACAGACAAGGAGAGUCUGAUUGAAUUUUAAAUUCUAUUUCCUUUAGAAUUUUUCACUGUUUUUGAGAAAGACUCAAGAAGCUCAAGCGGGUCUUGAACUCAGCUUUGUAGUUGAGGAUAAAUUUGAACUAAAGAUCCUCCGGUCUCUGUUUUUUAUUGUGCCCAAUGUUUUGUUGUUUUUGUUCUGUGGGUUUUUAAAUUUAUGUGUAUAUGUCCUUUCGGGUCAGAAAGGGUGUGGGUCUUGUGGAGCUGGAGUUAUAGGCAGUUUGGAACCGCG